rnacentral:rRNA from 1 species
UACGGAGGGUGCAAGCGUUAUCCGGAUUCACUGGGUUUAAAGGGUGCGUAGGUGGGUCUGUAAGUCAGUGGUGAAAUCUCCGAGCUUAACUCGGAAACUGCCAUUGAUACUAUAGGUCUUGAAUUAUCUGGAGGUAAGCGGAAUAUGUCAUGUAGCGGUGAAAUGCUUAGAUAUGACAUAGAACACCAAUUGCGAAGGCAGCUUACUACGGAUUGAUUGACACUGAGGCACGAAAGCGUGGGGGAUCAAACAGG